rnacentral:rRNA from 1 species
UUCAGAGGUCCCGAGCGUUGUUCGGAUUUACUGGGCGUAAAGGGAGCGUAGGCGGUUCGGUAUGUCGAAUGUGAAAGCCCACAACUCAACUGUGGAAAUGCAUUCGAAACUGCCGGGCUAGAGUACUGGAGAGGAGAGCGGAAUUCUUGGUGUAGCGGUGAAAUGCGUAGAUAUCAAGAGGAACACCGGUGGCGAAGGCGGCUCUCUGGACAGAUACUGACGCUGAGGCUCUAAAGUUAGGGGAGCAAACAGGAUUAGAUACCCGGGUAGU